GCAUUGUCAUCACACACGUGAUAACGUCAUUGCAAGUGGAAUGGGCGUUCGACGCGCUGUUUGCGGACUCGUGGUCGAAAUUUGACGGAGUAUAGAUAGUCAAAUGUUUUCAUUCAUGCCAUGUUAUCUCUUAUAGAUCAAAAGGUACAUUUAUGCUCGAAUAGUAGUUUUCGAUUAAAGUUGGUAAAGUGAUAUUUACGUACCGCGUAUAAUUAUCGGUGACAUGAUUGUACGUGGCUGUGAAACCUCACGCACUGAAAAAACCCUGAAACUCAGGUUUACAACAUUUCUGCAGCCAGCUCGGCGAUACGCGACACAUAGCACGACCUACUUUCACAUUGUUGAACUUACGGCGGAUCCUGAAGGGUCUAAGAUCUCGCAGCCAGUGAAUUGAAUGGCUUCACUAUAAUUGUCGGGCAUCGCACCCGAACAAAACGUCAAAAUAGCUACAGGCAGAGACCGCUAUUCCAAAUCAAAUUCAUCCAAGUGAAAUCAAUUCCGUCGGAUGACGACGGACCCGAUAGCGAUACACGGGAGCGCAAGUAUUCCUCUUCGCCGAAAGAUCCUUCCUUUAGCCCGGGGGGGAUACGAUUUCCAUACAACAAGGCACCGCAAUGAUUACCUACCCCGUGAAUACAUUAGUUGAACUUAGCCUUCCACAGUGCGCACAAGGUUCGCGUAGGCAUUCCAGGUGUGUCCUCCGUCUCUCCGACUCUGCGCCCUUGUACACGCGUACGUACAACGUCGAUACCCUUAAGCUGCCUGUUCGUCCUUAGGGAUGAAAGUUAUUUACUUCGGCCAACUGUCUUUCUCUCCGGUCUCAGCGAGGAAUCUUCAUUGCAACAGAAAUGAAACCCCUGCGAUCAAUCCUCGCCUUUGGUCUGGGAAUGCAUAGUCUUAGAGGAUACAUAGUUCGGCUGUAGGUAUUUACAUAGGUAUAACGUUUCAGAAUAUAUCCACCUAUGACCUGGGAAUUUACCUUACCGGUUUUAGUCUAAGGAGUUGGGCGGUCUACUAGAAUUCCGGAUAGGAUCUCCGAAGGUACGGUACCGUUUCUGUCUGCAGAAUUUUCAGAUUUUGCACCGAUUUAUACGGGUGAAACUCGCGUGUCUACGAAUAGCUCUGAUGAUUUGUUCCAUGCAAUAUCAAGACCCAAAGUUAACACGUAAUAAUGAAUUUCGCGGGAAUUUGAAACCACAGAAAAAGUUUUCGGUUGAAACUUACCAAGCUAAGUAUAUUUUGAUGUAUUGAACAAAUUCGUGUGAUCAAGAGAUGGGGUUUAUCGCUGUUGAGUCGGGAGACAAGUAUCUAGACAUCGUUAAAGAAUAUGUGUUGAUCCAGUUCCAGACUAAAAGGAUCUUACACGAUGCAGGUCAGCCAAGUUUUCUGCUCAAGAAAUUGCACGCGCGGUUAUUAAUUUGAUUGAAAAAGGCAAAACGGCGACGAAUUGUAAAGUCCUUGUUAUGUCGAUACACGCAAUGGCUUGAUACGCCUCAGGUGGAACGCCCUAAGUAGGCAAUGGCAAUCGCUUGUUUAUUCUCCGCGUGGACCUGCGGUUCAAUCCACUCCAAGCAAAAUAGCAUAUGGUAAGUAGAUUUCGCAACGUGUUGCCCGCACUGUUUACGGUAAGCGGAGAAGCACGCAUUAAUGGGUACAGGAAUAAAUGGAAAUCAAAUGAUCGCGUUGCGUGGGCUGGUUAGGUGUCUAAUGACAAGGGUGUGGUGUCGAUAUUAACGGCAAAAUGUAUCGAAGAACCGACCAAGAAAGUUUAGGUCGAUGGGUAAUGCAAGAUAGAGCUUUCGAUGAUUUCCGUAUAAAAUAAGAGUAACGGGUGGGUGCGCCAGGCCGUUAUAGUUAUUGGUUCGGCUUUCUUAUAUUGGACGAUAAAUUCUUCGGGCUCGUUCUUUUUUCUUUAGAAAUUUCCUGACCGAAGUUUCUUCGUUGACCAACAACUAACUUUCCAAAGGAGGGAAGGGGUCGGUAUCGCAGACCAUGGCUGCCAAUAGAUUUAGCACACUCGCGUUCUUCCUCUACCUAUACAAUCUAUGGCGGAACCAUUAAAACUGCUGCGACAGAGACUCAAACAUGUAUUAUUUAUACUUAUGAAAAUACGUUAUAUCUUCACUCGGCAUAUUUUCCUAAUCGUGAUUCUCUUCUGGAGUGAACAAAUCUUUAGCAAGUAACAAAACAUAUCCGCAGCAUGUUUGCGUUUAAAUUAAAGUUUGAAUUGAAUUUUAAAAAAUCGCAAGGAUCGUAAUGCUAUCGGAGAUCGUAACGAAGUCCAGAUGGCAAGUACGGAGUAUUGGAAAUAUUAUAUGUUAUUGAUCUCUCCGUAUAUUCAUGGAGCAUCGUGGACCGCAGUUCAGCUCGUCGGCUCGGCGAUAAAUCAUGAUCCUCAAGAAACUACCCCGCAUGUUACAGGAUACACUUCGAUUGUUUUCGCACAUGACGUAUUAUCCUUGCCGUAUGCGAAAUUCUACUAACAUAUCUAUGUCGGAGGCUUACAGCAGCUGGCAUGUUGUUCAACCUUUUUCAACAAUAUACCGUUGUAUCCGAUUGGAAUUAUUUUGAUGCACAUUAUUGAACAUAACAUGAAUCGAACACCAUUAAACCGCAUUUCACUGAUUUAGUACUGCGAAAUGCACUCAGUUUCGACAAGUUCGAUCACUGAGUCUCCAGCAAAAAAAAAAUUCAGCCUAAAAUACCCAAGCUACAACGUUCGGUGGGCUUCGUUUGUUGGUGACCAACCUUCUGCCGUAGAGUAAUUUUAGAAAUAAAACCGUAUGUGAUGAGCUUAAGUUAAUACAUCGCUCACAUGUGACUAUAAUACACUGUGAAGCAUUCUGGACGUUGUAAAUACCUAAUUAAUGGGAUGCGUGAUUCAACACGAAGCGGUGCCGUUGCCGGCAAAACAGCAUUUAAAAAAAAUUCUUUUGCACUUUGGAAAUUCACCGCUCAGAUUGCGAUGAAUAAUUAUUAAAAAUUACUCGUACGACUGCGAUAUGAGAAAUAUAACAGGAUACGGAACAUGUAGAUAGUCUUUCUAAAAAUAGACAACAGAAAAAAUGCAAGGAAAACACCACAGAUUGAAACUGAU